AAGACUAUACUUUCAGGGAUCAUUUCUAUAGUUUGUCACUAAAAGUUAAACAAUAUCUUCAUUCAUGUAUUCAAAGU
rnacentral:snoRNA from 1 species